rnacentral:rRNA from 2 species
CCAUAGCGCCGUGGAACCACCUGAUCCCAUGCCGAACUCAGAAGUGAAACGCGGUAGCGCCGAUGGUAGUGUGGCAUUCGCCAUGCGAGAGUAGGACACUGCCAGGC